rnacentral:rRNA from 1 species
GGAAGAGAAAGAAAAUUCGAUUCCCUUAGUAGCGGCGAGCGAAACGGGAAGAGCCCAAACCAAAAAGCUUGCUUGUUGGGGUUGUAGGACACUCUGUACGGAGUUACAAAGGACGACAUUAGACGAAUCAUCUGGAAAGAUGAAUCAAAGAAGGUAAUAAUCCUGUAGUCGAAAAUGUUGUCUCUCUUGAGUGGAUCCUGAGUACGACGGAGCACGUGAAAUUCCGUCGGAAUCUGGGAGGACCAUCUCCUAAGGCUAAAUACUCUCUAGUGACCGAUAGUGAACCAGUACCGUGAGGGAAAGGUGAAAAGCACCCCGGAAGGGGAGUGAAAUAGAACCUGAAACCGUGUGCUUACAAGUAGUCAGAGCCCGUUAAUGGGUGAUGGCGUGCCUUUUGUAGAAUGAACCGGCGAGUUACGAUUUGAUGCAAGGUUAAGCAGUAAAUGUGGAGCCGUAGCGAAAGCGAGUCUGAAUAGGGCGUUUAGUAUUUGGUCGUAGACCCGAAACCAGGUGAUCUACCCUUGGUCAGGUUGAAGUUCAGGUAACACUGAAUGGAGGACCGAACCGACUUACGUUGAAAAGUGAGCGGAUGAACUGAGGGUAGCGGAGAAAUUCCAAUCGAACCUGGAGAUAGCUGGUUCUCUCCGAAAUAGCUUUAGGGCUAGCCUCAAGUGAUGAUUAUUGGAGGUAGAGCACUGUUUGGACGAGGGGCCCCUCUCGGGUUACCGAAUUCAGACAAACUCCGAAUGCCAAUUAAUUUAACUUGGGAGUCAGAACAUGGGUGAUAAGGUCCGUGUUCGAAAGGGAAACAGCCCAGACCACCAGCUAAGGUCCCAAAAUAUAUGUUAAGUGGAAAAGGAUGUGGCGUUGCCCAGACAACUAGGAUGUUGGCUUAGAAGCAGCCAUCAUUUAAAGAGUGCGUAAUAGCUCACUAGUCGAGUGACACUGCGCCGAAAAUGUACCGGGGCUAAACAUAUUACCGAAGCUGUGGAUUGUCCUUUGGACAAUGGUAGGAGAGCGUUCUAAGGGCGUUGAAGCAUGAUCGUAAGGACAUGUGGAGCGCUUAGAAGUGAGAAUGCCGGUGUGAGUAGCGAAAGACGGGUGAGAAUCCCGUCCACCGAUUGACUAAGGUUUCCAGAGGAAGGCUCGUCCGCUCUGGGUUAGUCGGGUCCUAAGCUGAGGCCGACAGGCGUAGGCGAUGGAUAACAGGUUGAUAUUCCUGUACCACCUAUAAUCGUUUUAAUCGAUGGGGGGACGCAGUAGGAUAGGCGAAGCGUGCGAUUGGAUUGCACGUCUAAGCAGUAAGGCUGAGUAUUAGGCAAAUCCGGUACUCGUUAAGGCUGAGCUGUGAUGGGGAGAAGACAUUGAGUCUUCGAGUCGUUGAUUUCACACUGCCGAGAAAAGCCUCUAGAUAGAAAAUAGGUGCCCGUACCGCAAACCGACACAGGUAGUCAAGAUGAGAAUUCUAAGGUGAGCGAGCGAACUCUCGUUAAGGAACUCGGCAAAAUGACCCCGUAACUUCGGGAGAAGGGGUGCUCUUUAGGGUUAACGCCCAGAAGAGCCGCAGUGAAUAGGCCCAAGCGACUGUUUAUCAAAAACACAGGUCUCUGCUAAACCGUAAGGUGAUGUAUAGGGGCUGACGCCUGCCCGGUGCUGGAAGGUUAAGAGGAGUGGUUAGCUUCUGCGAAGCUACGAAUCGAAGCCCCAGUAAACGGCGGCCGUAACUAUAACGGUCCUAAGGUAGCGAAAUUCCUUGUCGGGUAAGUUCCGACCCGCACGAAAGGCGUAACGAUUUGGGCACUGUCUCAACGAGAGACUCGGUGAAAUCAUAGUACCUGUGAAGAUGCAGGUUACCCGCGACAGGACGGAAAGACCCCGUGGAGCUUUACUGUAGCCUGAUAUUGAAAUUCGGCACAGCUUGUACAGGAUAGGUAGGAGCCUUUGAAACGUGAGCGCUAGCUUACGUGGAGGCGCUGGUGGGAUACUACCCUAGCUGUGUUGGCUUUCUAACCCGCACCACUUAUCGUGGUGGGAGACAGUGUCAAGCGGGCAGUUUGACUGGGGCGGUCGCCUCCUAAAAGGUAACGGAGGCGCUCAAAGGUUCCCUCAGAAUGGUUGGAAAUCAUUCAUAGAGUGUAAAGGCAUAAGGGAGCUUGACUGCGAGACCUACAAGUCGAGCAGGGUCGAAAGACGGACUUAGUGAUCCGGUGGUUCCGCAUGGAAGGGCCAUCGCUCAACGGAUAAAAGCUACCCCGGGGAUAACAGGCUUAUCUCCCCCAAGAGUUCACAUCGACGGGGAGGUUUGGCACCUCGAUGUCGGCUCAUCGCAUCCUGGGGCUGUAGUCGGUCCCAAGGGUUGGGCUGUUCGCCCAUUAAAGCGGUACGCGAGCUGGGUUCAGAACGUCGUGAGACAGUUCGGUCCCUAUCCGUCGUGGGCGUAGGAAAUUUGAGAGGAGCUGUCCUUAGUACGAGAGGACCGGGAUGGACAUACCUCUGGUGUACCAGUUGUCGUGCCAACGGCAUAGCUGGGUAGCUAUGUGUGGACGGGAUAAGUGCUGAAAGCAUCUAAGCAUGAAGCCCCCCUCAAGAUGAGAUUUCCCAACUUCGGUUAUAAGAUCCCUCAAAGAUGAUGAGGUUAAUAGGUUCGAGGUGGAAGCAUGGUGACAUGUGGAGCUGACGAAUACUAAUCGAUCGAAGACUUAAUCAA